rnacentral:rRNA from 1 species
AGCAGCCGCGGUAAUUCCAGCUCCAAUAGCGUAUAUUAAAGUUGUUGCAGUUAAAAAGCUCGUAGUUGAAUUUCGGGAUCAAUUAAUCGGUCGUGCCUCUGGUACGCACUGGUUUUAUUGGUUUCUCCCUUCUGACGAACCAGGAUGUCAUUAAUUUGGUGUCUUGGAGAAUCAGGACUGUUACUUUGAAAAAUUGAGUGUUUAAAGCAGGCUAACGCUUGAAUACAUUAGCAUGGAAUAAUGAAAUAGGACGUUUGAUCCUAUUUUGUUGGUUCUAGGAUCGACGUAAUGAUUAAUAGGGAUAGUUGGGGCAUUAGUAUUCAAUUGUCAGAGGU